CCUACGGGAGGCAGCAGUGGGGAAUAUUGGACAAUGGGGGGAACCCUGAUCCAGCCAUGCCGCGUGUGUGAAGAAGGCCCUCGGGUUGUAAAGCACUUUCAGUGAGGAAGAACGCCUGGUGGUUAAUACCCAUCAGGAAAGACAUCACUCACAGAAGAAGCACCGGCUAACUCCGUGCCAGCAGCCGCGGUAAUACAGAGGGUGCGAGCGUUAAUCGGAAUUACUGGGCGUAAAGCGCGCGUAGGUGGCUUGAUAAGCCGGUUGUGAAAGCCCCGGGCUCAACCUGGGAACGGCAUCCGGAACUGUCAAGCUAGAGUGCAGGAGAGGAAGGUAGAAUUCCCGGUGUAGCGGUGAAAUGCGUAGAGAUCGGGAGGAAUACCAGUGGCGAAGGCGGCCUUCUGGACUGACACUGACACUGAGGUGCGAAAGCGUGGGUAGCAAACAGGAUUAGAUACCCGAGUAGUC
rnacentral:rRNA from 1 species